CAACCCAGGCUGCCAGGCUGUGACAAAGCCAAGCCACGGAGAGACUAUGUGACACCCUGGUCGGUGGUCUCAGUCUUUGAGUCCUCAUAGCCCUGUCACCAGGCAUGUGAGAAAACAAGCCUCAGGUGAUUCUAGCCCCAGCUGUGGAGCCACCUCAGCCUCUGCGUCUUGUAAGUUGAGGCCUCAGACACUGUGGAGCACAGACAAGCUGUCCCUCCUGUAGCCUUUCCAGGUUCCUGACCCACAGAAUCCAGCCCAUUCUGCCUUUGACCCAGCAGUGUGUGUGAUCACUGCCGCUCCAGUCUCCACCAUCCCUCACGUCUGGGAAAGAGACAAAGCUUUCACAAGUUGUGUCGUCGCAGUCUGUCCAGGUGAUUCUGGAAUUGCUCUUCAUUGGCUCUAUGCCUACGCUCUACACUUCGUAAACGAAAGGCUCGUAAGGCGCAUGUCCCUCUCCUGGCAAGAUUAUCCAACCAGCCU